AACGAACGCUGGCGGCAGGCUUAACACAUGCAAGUCGAGCGCCCCGCAAGGGGAGCGGCAGACGGGUGAGUAACGCGUGGGAACGUACCCUUUGCUACGGAAUAGCUCCGGGAAACUGGAAUUAAUACCGUAUGUGCCCUACGGGGGAAAGAUUUAUCGGCAAAGGAUCGGCCCGCGUUGGAUUAGCUAGUUGGUGGGGUAAUGGCCUACCAAGGCGACGAUCCAUAGCUGGUCUGAGAGGAUGAUCAGCCACAUUGGGACUGAGACACGGCCCAAACUCCUACGGGAGGCAGCAGUGGGGAAUAUUGGACAAUGGGCGCAAGCCUGAUCCAGCCAUGCCGCGUGAGUGAUGAAGGCCUUAGGGUUGUAAAGCUCUUUCACCGGAGAAGGUAAUGACGGUAUCCGGAGAAGAAGCCUCGGCUAACUUCGUGCCAGCCGCCGCCGUAAAAC
rnacentral:rRNA from 1 species